CGUACAGAGGUUCCUCCACCUUGUAUUCUUAUUGAGAUCAUUUCAGGUUUAAGUAGACGUUGUUCUCCUUGAUAGAGAAUCCCACCUCUUUUCUAUGAACCCAAAGUCAACAUACCCUAGAUAUCUUAGCUUCUUUUAACCUGUCUGCUUGUGCAGAUCCUCCCCUGUGCAGCUGCAGAGCAAGGUACCAGGAUGUGGUUAGAUGUUUGGUGCUACACUGGGCUCUUAAAUACCUGAGUAUAGUCCCAAUCAGUUGGCAUAAAUACUUUCAAUUGGCUAUAAACUGUGCUGAGUGGUCAUCUCUGGUGGAUUCCUUGUAACAUUUUGGAAGCCCCAGUGAGAUCCCCAGACAGAGACUGGACUCUGACACAGGACUUGGGACUGCCAGGAAUGGGGAAGAGAGUACAAGCUGGAGAGGACUCCUAGAGGGUGAGCACUCCGAGAGGUUCCAGGGAGCUGGAAAAAUCCUGUGCAACUGUCACUGCUGAGAGUGCUCCAGAGGCGAUGCAGUCCCCAAAAGAGAAAUCAAAAGUCAUCUGCUCUGAACAUCUUGUAGGAGUCCCACAGGAAUACCAAGCUACACAACCACAACAGAAGUUAAACUUCUUUCCUGGUCAUAGUUUGUCUCCUUCUCUACCAAUGCCUUGGAUAAUCGGAAGAUCCAAACUCCUCCAUUUUUGGAUAUCCUGCAGGCCCUUUCAACCUAUGAGAAAUUGUUUUAAGGAUUGUCCCAACCGCCCCAUCUCUUCAGAGCCCCGCCCCAAUCACGGUAAGCUCCGCCCCAGACACCAGAGCCUCGCUUCGGAUCCCGGAGUUUGUUCUAACCAGCAGCCCUGCCCAGAUGCACUAACUCCCCGCCCAAGAGGUGAGAGCCCCGCCCAGACAGGGGAGUCCUGCUUCAGACUAGGGCGUCCGUUCUGAGGGGUAGCC
ensembl:lncRNA